AACGAACGUUAGCGGCGCGCCUAACACAUGCAAGUCGCACGAGAAAGGGCUUCGGCCCCGGUACAGUGGCGCACGGGUGAGUAACACGUAGGUAAUCUUCCCUCGAGUGGUGGAUAACUCUCCGAAAGGAGAGCUAAUACAGCAUGAGACCACGGCAUCUCCGGAUGCAGGGGUCAAAGCAGGCCUCUUCAUGAAAGCUUGCGCUCAAGGAUGAGCCUGCGGCCCAGCAGCUAGGUGGUGAGGUAACGGCCCACCAAGUCUAAGACGGGUAGCGGCUCUGAGAGGAUGAACAGCCACACUGGAACUGCCACACGGUCCAUGAUGCUACGGGAGGCAGCGCUGGGGAAUCUUGCGCAAGGGGCGAAAGCCUGACGCAGCGACGCCGCGUGAGCGAUGAAGGCCUUCGGGUUGUAAAGCUCUGUGGGGAGAGAAGAAUAUGGAUACGCUAAUACCGUGUUCGAUGACGGUAUCUCCUUAGCAAGCACCGGCUAACUCUGUGCCAGCCGCCGCAGUAAAAC
rnacentral:rRNA from 1 species